GACGAACGCUGGCGGCGUGCCUAAUACAUGCAAGUCGAACGCUGAAGGAGGAGCUUGCUUCUCUGGAUGAGUUGCGAACGGGUGAGUAACGCGUAGGUAACCUGCCUGUUAGCGGGGGAUAACUAUUGGAAACGAUAGCUAAUACCGCAUAAUAGCAGUUAUUGCAUGAUAACUGUUUGAAAGGUGCAAUUGCCCCACUACCAGAUGGACCUGCGUUGUAUUAGCUAGUUGGUGGGGUAACGGCUCACCAAGGCGACGAUACAUAGCCGACCUGAGAGGGUGGACGGCCAAAAUGGGACUGAGACACGGCCCAGACCCCUACGGGAGGCAGCAGUAGGGAAUCUUCGGCAAUGGACGGAAGGCUGACCGGGCAACGCCGCGUGAGUGAAGAAGGGUUUCGGAUCGUAAAGCUCUGUUGUAAGAGAAGAACGAGUGUGGGAGUGGAAAGUUCACACUGUGACGGUAUCUUACCAGAAAGGGACGGCUAACUACGUG
rnacentral:rRNA from 1 species